AGUCAUUUUGAGGAAACACACAAUAUCUUUCUUUUAGUGUUUAAGUCUCUGGUUCUCUUCCACAGCAUGUCUUCUAUCCUGUCUUCCUUCUCUCACCCCAACCGGUCCCGGCAGAUGGCCCCGCCCCUUCCUGAGCCUGGUUCUGCCGGAGGUUUCUUCCUGUUAAAAGGGAGUUUUUCCUUCCCACUGUCGCCAAUGUGCUUGUUCAUAGUGGGUCAUAUGUUUGUUGGAUUUUUCUCUGUAUGUAUUAUUGUCAGGUCUACCUUAAAAUAUAAAGCGCCUUGAGGCGGCUGUUGUUGUGAUUUGGCGCUGUAUAAAUGAAAUGAAAUUGAAUUGAAUUAAGUGUCAACACAAGGCCGACAGAACAGUUGAAAACCAGCUCAAAGAACACUUCACAGAGAAAAUGUUGUAGUCAAAAAAAUUCUUUUUUAAAAAUGGGUGUAGAUAGAAAUGUUUAUAUGAAAAUCAACCUUGGGUUGAUUGUUUGCACAUGCUAUGAGUUAGCAGGAGAAAUCAGGUGUUUCUGAAUGAGGUGCAGUUUCUACUGUACCACCACAUUUUUGUGCUUUUUUUCCAAUAAAAAUUAACGUUCAGAACUCCACUUUACAAAAGGUGUAGAUCAUUUUACUAUUUAUCACCUCCUGCCACUGACCAUCACUUUUUUUUCAUGUUUGAUUUCUUAGGUGUUUUUUUUUUUUUAUUCUGUCCACCUAGCAUGCACAUUUUUUUAACCCUUGUGUGGUGUUCAUAUUUUUGUUGCUCAGCCAGUGUUCAUGGGUCUGGUGGACCCGCUAGAGUUUUGGCUUUCCAAAUUAACACUAUCAAACAAUUUUAUGUUAAAUUACUCAACAGAUGUUUACGUCAUCCCAAUUACAAGCCAUAUGAACAGCAAACAUGGUUAAUUUUUUCCCUUUACCUUUGUUAGAUCACAUUUAUGAAUUAAUGUGCUUCUCGUUUUUUUGUUUUUUUUUUAUAAAAUGUUAUAAAAAAAUAAAUCAGUUAUAAUCAAGUGGAGUGAGUGGAAAGACAACACAUUUACACGUGAAGCAAUAUGUUUCACAACUAAAUGGGAUCAGCUGCUCAUCAAUGGUGACAUUAGGCCCAGGGUUGUAAAACAGGGGGAGGUGGUGCACACACUUAUCCCACACUGUCCUGAUGGCAGCUAGCUUGUCUCUCUGCCGUCGAGCUGUUACUAGCCCAGCUAGCUUGUCUCUCUGCCGUCGAGCUGGUCUGUCGUCUCGGUUAUCAAAACAGAUAAUCCUG
ensembl:lncRNA